rnacentral:rRNA from 1 species
UACGUAGGGGGCAAGCGUUGUCCGGAUUUAUUGGGCGUAAAGAGCGUGUAGGCGGUCAGGUAGGUCCGUUGUGAAAACUCGAGGCUCAACCUCGAGACGCCGAUGGAAACCAUCUGACUAGAGUCCGGAAGAGGAGAGUGGAAUUCCUGGUGUAGCGGUGAAAUGCGCAGAUAUCAGGAAGAACACCGGUGGUGUAGACGGCUCUCUGGACCGUAACUGACGCUGAGACACGAAAGCGUGGGUAGCAAACAGG